AGAUUAAGUUAUUAAGGGCGCACGGUGGAUGCCUUGGCACUAGAAGCCGACGAAGGACGUUACUAACGACGAUAUGCUUUGGGGAGCUGUAAGUAAGCUGUGAUCCAGAGAUUUCCGAAUGGGGGAACCCAGCACGAGUUAUGUCGUGUUAUCCGCAUGUGAAUACAUAGCAUGUGAGAAGGUAGACCCGGAGAACUGAAACAUCUUAGUACCCGGAGGAAGAGAAAGAAAAAUCGAUUCCCUGAGUAGCGGCGAGCGAAACGGGAAGAGCCCAAACCAACAAGCUUGCUUGUUGGGGUUGUAGGACACUCUGUACGGAGUUACAAAGGAACAUGUUAGACGAAUAACCUGGAAAGGUUAAUCAGAGAAGGUAAAAAUCCUGUAGUCGAAAACAUCUUCCCUCCUGAGUGGAUCCUGAGUACGGCGGAGCACGUGAAAUUCCGUCGGAAUCUGGGAGGA
rnacentral:rRNA from 1 species